rfam:Mus musculus chromosome X, GRC primary reference assembly.
ACAGUACCUUACUCAGUAAGGCAUUGUUCUUCUAUAUUAAUAAAUGAACAGUGCCUUUCUGUGUAGGGUAAUGUG